UCAGGAAACAGGAUGUUUAGGAUUUAAAAUGGCGGAGCACAGUGAUAAAUAUAUAUAUAUAUAUAUAUCUGGUUAUGUCGUCCGAGGAACAUCUGGACGUAAAGGAAAUAUUUCGAUCGAGAUUUAAACAACAACAUGAUAUAUUUCAAUGACCCGAAGAGGAAAGCAAUGGUGGGCACGAACGUGGUCUGGGCCCAUCGGGAAUAUUUUCCUAGGCUUGCGCAUGGCCUAGAGAACGCUAGAGAAAUAGACACACACACACACACGUACAUACACGUACAUAGGCAUACAAGAGAAAGAGAAAGAUAGAGAGAGACAGAGAAAAAGAGAGACAGAGGAAAGGUCCGGGCAAUGCCAGCUGCGCUACCGUAACAUAACGAGGCCUAAACGCAGGCGCCUACUACCAAUAGGAGCCAACUGUUCAUUAGUCUGUUGGUACAGGCUGUUCAAAACGGUCUCUUCGUUGAGAAAGAACGGUCUGCGAGGGUGUAGAAGACGAUUGUCAGAAGGGGAGAAUCGCCUUCUCGAGAACCUUAUUUUCUACUCGGAUCGAUACUAUCGAUGGAAAAAUCAGAAAGAGAAAAAGAGAGAAUAAGAGAAAUAGGGAGAGAACGAGAGAGAGAGAGAGAGAGAGAGAGAUACGUAAGAAUUUUCUUCAGGAAAAAUCAUCUUAAGUUUCUUAACUCUAAUCGCCAUUAGAGAUUGAUAUAUAUCUAUUUCUAAGAUUACUAUCGUUUAAUAUAUUAUUGACGAUAAUAAACGUUGGACCAUGAUAGUCCGGCCAUUUUUCCUUU